CUUUUGCAGAAUUGCUGAUAGUACUCCUGAUCUCAGUUGAAAUCUGAAAAAAAAAAAAAUUAAAAAAUAGCUGGCAAGUCUAAUACUCUGCAGAGGCCCUAUUUUCUCCUGCAGGUGAUAGCUCAUGUGCAACGUCUUGAUAACUGUAAAAAUGAUGCACUGCCUUGGGGAGCAGAAAGGAAAAUAAAAGUAACUGACUGAUGAGGAGGCACAGCAGAAGACCUGGCAGAUCCUGGCUGAGCAUCUUUGGUGGACCCCUGAACCCUCUAUUAUACAACAAUUCCUGCUACAGCUCAAGCAGGUGAUGGCCCUGGAGACUCCCUGGCUGACACCUCUCUAAGCCACCUGGGACCCAGAGAGUUUUGUGACUUCCUCGGUGUUGUGAGGAGCAGGAGGCCCAGAGUUUGCCCACUGUAACCAUGUGUUGGAGAAACUUGGGUGUAAAGUGGUGGAAGCAUACCUGGGUCUGUUGGGGGAACUGGA
rnacentral:lncRNA from 1 species